UUGCUUUUACAAAAUACUUUCGUAAAUCUAAAACUUUUUGAAAGAGGAAGGCCCAUUGUAGGCAGAUGAGACUUUUUGACGAUCAACGAAGGCAGGACGAGCUACCAAGUAAGCAAAUGAAGAAGCUCAUCAAGGCUGGGUAAAAUGCCCGAAAGCCCGUUAGGGCUGUAAAAGGCUAGGAAGCCCAUCGGGGCUAUAAAAAGGCAGAGAGCUCGCAAAGGCUAAAGAAUGCCAGGAAGCUCGUCAGGGCUAGUCGGGGAAAGAAAAUGCUCGACGCCAGAGCUAAAAAAUAUCUAGAAGCUUGAUAAGGCUGUAAAAAG
rnacentral:lncRNA from 1 species